rnacentral:lncRNA from 1 species
CCGAGUGUUUCCAUUCAGGUGGGAAGGGCUUUAGGUCUGUGGGGCAGGAUUCCCCCUGCGUUUGUCCAUCUUCCAGCUGGUUUUUGAUGAAAGGUGCUGUAAGGUGCCUGCUAGCAGCACUGAGUGUGUCCUUAUUCCUCAGGCAGAAUGUCACUGCUCUGAGUCCCCCAGCUCAGGGCAGUUAUUGCAUGGCACAGAUGAACAGAGAGCAAAGGCAAAGGCUUGGAUUGUGUCACAGCCAAGCUGUGGUCCAAACACCUACAAUGAAUCCCAAAAGCAGUUAUGGGAUCGUUUAUUAAAAAUGUUCUUCACUUUCUAUUCCUUCUGCUAGUGCAGAGAGCUCCCAUCUCUUAACUUGCUUGCACCGAGUCUUUAGUGCACUCUCUCAGGUGUUGCCAUGUUUGAUGUGCUUUAUCUCAAGGCAAGAUAAGUUAUUAAUCACCUUAUCAGAGUCCAGGGGUAAGGAAUGUUAAUGGUUAGCAAGUGUUACUCUGUUGUCCUUGAAUAUUCACACUUGUGAAUAUUUAAGCCUUCUAUGCCCCGUGUAAACAAGCUUCAAUGUCAUUUUGAGGAAUUUGCGAUCCACAUAGAAAUCAUGCAGCUGCCAUGAGAUUGUACAAGAGAUAAGGAAACCCAAAGACCAUACAGAACCCUUGAGAAACGAAAGCACAGCCUUCAAACUCUACAGAAUGAGACCAUAGAUGGGUGUGGAGCCCACUGCUGGGAUUGCUUUCAUUUUCACUUUUGUUCUGCUGUUUAAUCAGUUGCUGACACGGUGACGGAACAAAAGCAGUCUGUGUGACACAGAGGCACGGGAGAUUUCCUUUGUAUUCAGAGUUGGUGAAGCACGGACCACUGAACAGAAUGUGAAGUGAAGGGAAUUGGUAACUUCUUGGAGAAAGGAUUAUGAUGCAUUGUAUAUAAUUCUUGGCACCAUAAUUCUGGUUCUAGUAGAAGAAAUAGCAGUCUGAAUUUAAACAUCCACCAGAGAUAUAGUUAAAGAAUUACUUUGCAUGUCCAUCUCUCAUUUUUUAAACUAUUUCAGGGUUAAAUUAAUGUACAUCGGUAUGAGAUUCUAGCUAGCAUUUCUUUCUAAGCCCCAAACCUGAUCUUCAGACAUCUUGCCCUGUGCUUAUUCUCUAAAUUUAUGAUUGUGUUCUGCACCUGGUUCUUAAAGCAAAUAUUAUGAAAAUAAGAAAAAGUGAAUGCAUUUUUUCAGAGGGAGAAAUUGAUAUUCCUUAUCACCUGUCAUUUGGUGUCUCAUUGACUGCCUUUCUUACUAUUAGCUGUCACUAGCUGUGGUAGGAGAUAGGAAUGUGUUCAUAAGAAUUGGUGGCUGAAUUCUGCUGGGAUUUUAAGGGGGCAAAGUAUUCCUCUCACUCAGAUGCCAAACAUCUUUAGGAACACAAAGUCCAGUAAAACCAUUAGUUGUAGCGUUUUCUCUUCCAGCUUUUGGGGCUCUUCCUUCUUACUUUCACCAUCACUGUUUAUGGCAUGAACUUCAUGUGACCCUGAUGACUCUGCUAUAAAACUGAAGGAUAACACAGGAAAGAUGAGCUGGAGAACAAAUUAGAGGAAUAAAUGUGGAAAUGUGUCGAAGAAAUACAACAGGAAAUUACAGAGCACAUGAACAGAAAGUGAAACCUCGUAUCGAAAAUGUUCCUAGUACGUUCUGGAGUGUUUCAGGUUUAAAAGCAACUGGGAAAAAAAAUAAAGGAGAUUGUAGAGGGUGUAGUUACAGAUAGUGGGACACAACAACCAACUCUUACCUCCAAUAUCACUGCUGUUACGCACCAGAACAAAAAAUGCUCCACAAAUUAACUCAUUACGAAGAGUAAUGCAGAUAGUGACAAUAAAUAAACAUCAAAUGAACAACCUGUCUCUAAAUUCUGGUCCUAGAUUUGUUAUACUUGCAACCAAAUCAGGUAGUCCUAAUACUGUUCCCUAGAUGUUCUUGGCCGCACCGGUUUUGCCUUUGCAUAAAGCAAGGAGGACCAAAGCAAAGGAGGAAGAAACAUCUUCAGGUUUCACAGAGCAGGAGGAAUGUGAG